rnacentral:lncRNA from 1 species
AUGCAGCAAAGCUAUUGUACCGUGUGGACGUAAUUGUCUCCAAUAUUUAAAUUAGCAGAUCCACAUAUGUACGUGUAAUAGGAGAGGGUCGUUGUCGGCACCUUCUGAUAAGUGUAGUGGAUAGUAUUGUAGCAUAUCGUAUUUUCAGGAUUCUAAUAUCAGAUUUUGGUUGAACAGAAACAUAAAUAAAAUAAACUCAAAAAUUUAUUUACAAAUAUACAAUAAGGGCAACAGAUAUAUAACGCUGUUCAAAAGUCAUAAAAUCGGUUGAGGGAAAACAAUUUCGGGUUACAUACUAAAACAUUCUAUUAAAACAAUCUCAAAUAAAACAUUGUCAAAUCAAAUUAAAAAAUUAAUAUUUCCUAUCAAUUGAGUUCAAAUAGGUUAGUAAUACAAACACUUAGUGUAAAAGAAAAAACUUUCUGUGGCAUCAAUAUCUAACGUUAAUAAGUCAAUAACAAUCAAAACCAAGGAGUAAACAAAGUCUCAAAAAAUCAAAGGACAUUUACAUCAGCAGUUAUAAAUAAUGAAUAAGAAACAACACGAACUCUACUAAAAACCGGGAGUGAAAUCAGGUGCUCCGGAAGGGUAAGCAUUUCCUGCACUGUAUACGACACCCGUCGUGUUAUUUCUUUGUUCUGUUCUGUAAUGAUGGAAGGUUAUUAUGACUGAGGGAGAAUAUCAGAUAUGAUUUCUGACACACUUUUGUCAUAAUGGCUAAUCAGCUCAUGAUGGCGACCGUAAAAUUUAUUGAGUGAUGACCUUAAUUUGAUUGAUUCAUAGCCCUGUCUUAUCAACUUUUGAGAAAGCAGUAUUCCUCGUUCAAAAAAUCAACGUAUCUAGCUCUAGAGUAACGUAACAAUUGAGACACAUAUACUCCAUAUGCUGGUGCCGCUGGGAUGUUGCUAAACAGAAAUGGAAAGUUGACUAAAGGAAAAUUAAAAUCAUCGCGUUUGUCAUAAAUUUUGUUAUCACACACUACCAUCAGUAGUCAUUUCGACAAAAAGGUCUAAAAAUGAAGCAGAUUUAUCUUUAAAUAAUAUAAUGAUACAUGUUUAUUUUACCAUCACUGUUGUAUUGCAUAAUUGAAACGUUUCGCAUUUAGAUUUGAAAAAUACCUAUAUGGUCCAAAUACUAAAAUGGUCUGGAACAUUUAAACUAAUGUGACAAACUUUCGACGUGACUGCGAACACUUUCAAUACUAAUACAUUCAAAUGCAAAACUCUAUAUAGUAUUAUAAAAUCCUACCCGUAGACACCGUGAAAACGUUUAUAAUGCCUCACGGACCUAACAUUAAACAGUAAGUACAGCUGUAGGUAGCACUAGUUCCCAUCUACACACAGAUAUUUUAGUCUUACCCACAAUGCUUUAUUUUGUUGGCAAUAUAUUUUUACAUGUGUAUAUAUAUAUAUAUAUUAGUUGAAUAGUCAAAACAUGAUCUUAACUGUAUUACUCUUGAUAACAUCCUCAGACACACAAAACAAAACUGACUUGUA